rnacentral:rRNA from 1 species
UACGGAGGGUGCAAGCGUUAUCCGGAUUCACUGGGUUUAAAGGGUGCGUAGGUGGGUUGGUAAGUCAGUGGUGAAAUCUCCCGAGCUUAACUUGGAAACUGCCAUUGAUACUAUCAGUCUUGAAUAUUGUGGAGGUUAGCGGAAUAUGUCAUGUAGCGGUGAAAUGCUUAGAUAUGACAUAGAACACCAAUUGCGAAGGCAGCUGGCUACACAUAUAUUGACACUGAGGCACGAAAGCGUGGGGAUCAAACAGG